rnacentral:rRNA from 1 species
UGGGGAAUAUUGCACAAUGGGGGAAACCCUGAUGCAGCGACGCCGCGUGAACGAAGAAGGUAUUCGUAUCGUAAAGUUCUGUCCUAUGGGAAGAUAAUGACAGUACCAUAGAAGAAAGCUCCGGCUAAAUACGUGCCAGCAGCCGCGGUAAUACGUAUGGAGCGAGCGUUGUCCGGAAUUAUUGGGCGUAAAGGGUACGCAGCCGGUUUAAUAAGUCGAAUGUUAAAGAUCGGGGCUCAACCCCGCAAAGCAUUGGAAACUGAUAAACUUGAGUAGUGGAGAGGAAAGUGGAAUUCCUAGUGUAGUGGUGAAAUACGUAGAUAUUAGGAGGAAUACCAGUAGCGAAGGCGACUUUCUGGACACAAACUGACGCUGAGGUACGAAAGCGUGGGGAGCAAACAGG